UACGUAGGGUGCAAGCGUUGUCCGGAAUUAUUGGGCGUAAAGAGCUCGUAGGCGGUUUGUUGCGUCGGCUGUGAAAACCUGAGGCUCAACCUCAGGCCUGCAGUCGAUACGGGCUGGCUUGAGUGCGGUAGGGGAGACUGGAAUUCCUGGUGUAGCGGUGAAAUGCGCAGAUAUCAGGAGGAACACCGGUGGCGAAGGCGGGUCUCUGGGCCGUAACUGACGCUGAGGAGCGAAAGCGUGGGGAGCGAACAGG
rnacentral:rRNA from 1 species